CCUACGGGUGGCAGCAGUGAGGAAUAUUGGUCAAUGGACGAGAGUCUGAACCAGCCAAGUAGCGUGAAGGAUGACUGCCCUAUGGGUUGUAAACUUCUUUUAUCUGGGACUGAAAUGCUCCACGUGUGGGGUUUUGUAUGUACCAUAUGAAUAAGGAUCGGCUAACUCCGUGCCAGCAGCCGCGGUAAUACGGAGGAUCCGAGCGUUAUCCGGCUUUAUUGGGUUUAAAGGGUGCGUAGGUGGAUUGUUAAGUCAGUUGGGAAAGUGUGCGGCUCAACCGUAAAAGUGCAGUUGAAACUGGCAGUCUUGAGUACAGUAGAGGUAGGCGGAAUGCGUGGUGUAGCGGUGAAAUGCAUAGAUAUCACGAAGAACUCCGAUUGCGAAGGCAGCUCACUGGACUGCAACUGACACUGAGGCUCGAAAGUGUGGGUAUCAAACAGGAUUAGAUACCCGAGUAGUC
rnacentral:rRNA from 1 species